AUUGAACGCUGGCGGCAUGCUUUACACAUGCAAGUCGGACGGCAGCACAGAGAAGCUUGCUUCUUGGGUGGCGAGUGGCGAACGGGUGAGUAAUAUAUCGGAACGUACCGAGUAAUGGGGGAUAACUAAUCGAAAGAUUAGCUAAUACCGCAUAUUCUCUGAGGAGGAAAGCAGGGGACCUUUGGGCCUUGCGUUAUUCGAGCGGCCGAUAUCUGAUUAGCUAGUUGGUGGGGUAAAGGCCUACCAAGGCGACGAUCAGUAGCGGGUCUGAGAGGAUGAUCCGCCACACUGGGACUGAGACACGGCCCAGACUCCUACGGGAGGCAGCAGUGGGGAAUUUUGGACAAUGGGCGCAAGCCUGAUCCAGCCAUGCCGCGUGUCUGAAGAAGGCCUUCGGGUUGUAAAGGACUUUUGUCAGGGAAGAAAAGGCUGUUGCUAAUAUCGACAGCUGAUGACGGUACCUGAAGAAUAAGCACCGGCU
rnacentral:rRNA from 1 species